ensembl:miRNA
UUUGUACGGGGUUGAACCACAGUGUACUAUAGCGGCCACAGUGGCACAUCCUAUGACAAA